AAGGAAUAUUGGUCAAUGGACGCAAGUCUGAACCAGCCAUGCCGCGUGGAGGAUGAAGGUCCUCUGGAUUGUAAACUUCUUUUAUCUGGGACGAAACACUCCUAUUCUUAGGGGCCUGACGGUACCAGAUGAAUAAGCACCGGCUAACUCCGUGCCAGCAGCCGCGGUAAUACGGAGGGUGCAAGCGUUAUCCGGAUUCACUGGGUUUAAAGGGUGCGUAGGUGGGUAUGUAAGUCAGUGGUGAAAUCCCCGAGCUUAACUUGGGAACUGCCGUUGAUACUAUAUAUCUUGAAUGUCGUAGAGGUAAGCGGAAUAUGUCAUGUAGCGGUGAAAUGCUUAGAGAUGACAUAGAACACCAAUUGCGAAGGCAGCUUGCUAUGCGAUUAUUGACACUGAGGCAUGAAAGCGUGGGUAGCAAACA
rnacentral:rRNA from 1 species